UUCGGACGGGGUGGGUGUAGCGCGUGUGCGGAUAGGAGGAGGACCUCACGAUCGAGGCGUUGGUGGCGAUUGGUGACAGUUGGUGAACGGUGGUGAUUGGGUGGUGUUCGGACGAUUUUCUGGGACGGCUGCGAUUAACUCAACGGACCAGGUGGUGGCCCGUGCGUGAGCGAUUUGAACUCUGAGACGGACUCUUGUGGACUCGUUUGUGCUGAUUAUUCUACCAGUGUUCUGCCUUGUUUUGGCGAUGCGGUGGAGGGGGGCUUCUUAAAACUGGAUUCUUCUCGAGAAAUGAUUGACUGGAGCUCCGGGCCGACGCAGCAGCAUCUCUCAGUCGUCACUACAGUAUGGGGCGGACCCGCCCAGCAGCAAGCCCCGCCCACCAGCACCAUGCACUUCCCGAAUAAGGCGUACCAGCAGCACGGCGCGCCGGGGCCCGCCUACCAGCGCCAGGCAUCUUACAACCCCGGCAUGGGCCAGCCGAAUGACUUAAAUGCUGCUGCGAUGGUGGCGGCGGCUGCCACGGCUACCGCGACAGCAACGGCAUCUGUCGUCGCCCUGCGGGACCGCAAUGACCAAUACGGACAGGUAGGUGACAGCACCGCUGUGCGAGCUUUUUGGGAGGGA